rnacentral:tRNA from 1 species
GGUUUUAUAUUCAAGUAUGAUUCUAGACUGCAAUUCUAGAGGUGUAGAAUAUUAUUUUACUAAGGCCU